CUUUUUCUUUCACCGGAGCUUGCUCCACCGAAAGAAAAGGAGUGGCGAACGGGUGAGUAACACGUGGGUAACCUGCCCAUCAGAAGGGGAUAACACUUGGAAACAGGUGCUAAUACCGUAUAACAAUCGAAACCGCAUGGUUUUGAUUUGAAAGGCGCUUUCGGGUGUCGCUGAUGGAUGGACCCGCGGUGCAUUAGCUAGUUGGUGAGGUAACGGCUCACCAAGGCCACGAUGCAUAGCCGACCUGAGAGGGUGAUCGGCCACAUUGGGACUGAGACACGGCCCAAACUCCUACGGGAGGCAGCAGUAGGGAAUCUUCGGCAAUGGACGAAAGUCUGACCGAGCAACGCCGCGUGAGUGAAGAAGGUUUUCGGAUCGUAAAACUCUGUUGUUAGAGA
rnacentral:rRNA from 1 species